ensembl:lncRNA
ACAAUUGCAUUUUUCUUUUUUUUCUUUUGUUGCCACAGAGAUACCCCAUCAUCUCAUCAGCUUUCAUUUGGAAAAGUUAUCAUUUUCCUACUUAUCUGCAGCCCAAUAUAUUACAUUCACAGUGUGUAACUGGCAGCUGUAUUUUUAAGGAUUUUGUCUUUAGUUAUGCAGAUUUCUUUACUUGUGUCAUUGCCAGGUCUAUACCAAUUAUGAUAGCAUUAUGACACAGCCAUGCUCUGCACUAUGAAACUGUGCUUCCUGUGGACUUCCUAUGCAAGAGUGGUUACAGUGUGUCAUCUUAUGUCAUCUCAUGUCAUCUCGGUGUAUAGUGGGCCGUGCACUCUAGCAGGGUGUAAGCACCUGCUGUGAUGAUGGCUCCUUUAUAGAAUCACCAGACUAUGUAUUUCUUAAGGGCAUCUCCUUGUGAAGUGAGCCAUGACCAUGCUUAUCCAUUGCCCUUGUAUAGUAUAUAAUUACCAUAUGACUUUCCUUACUGAUGUUUCAUUUCAUUACUGUUGUAGAAGGACCAAUAUUUGACAUUGCUGAUGCUCCCUGUGGUAUGUUCAUGCCCAAGAUCUGAUCCCAUCUUCUGUCACCAAGUGAAUGAAGGCUGAAACCUGGCGUUCUCUCCAGUUAGGAGGGCUGGUGUGGAAGUGGCCAGCUAGGCCUUUGGCAGAGAGGAAGUUCUUCCACAAGCCUGGAUGGCAUUGUCUCUGUUGUGCGGUACUGUGGAGGCUUCUUUGCUCUGGGUGGCCCAGGUACCUCUGCCUGGGGACCAAUUUCUCUCUGAUGUGCAAGUGCUUAAAGAUGCCAGGCACCUUAAGUGCUGGGAAAGUGUGAGUCUGCUGGAUAGAAGUCCAGAGAUAAUAAUAAGGUUGUUUUUUUCAUACCAGCCAGAACUUGCUGUGGUGAGAGUGGGCUCUUCCCACAUUCAGCUCCAGACUUUUUAGAUCUGAGUCCACAUCAGGUACAUUUCUGCCGUGACCCACACAGUGUAGCUACAGUUCGAAGUCAGGGAGAGAAGUGGGAAAUGAGGAAAAAAUGAAGAAACAAAGACUAUUCUUGAAAGUUGGGACCAGGUGGAACAAUAGCUUGUCAGGAGCUAAGGCCGCUUGGAGUCCCACACGUUCCUUAUAGUGGAAGACAAACAGGAAGAGAAGGCAGGGCAAAUAGUGCUACAUGGCCUAUGUGGCCUAGGUGGAGCAUAGUGUGAUUGUUUCAUGAUCCGGACAUGUGCAGGAAGGGAACAGGGAAGGAUCCAUAGUGUAACUGUCUCCUGGGGCUGUGCCAUCCAAGGUCUACAAACUGACACAGUCUGUUUGGCUUUCUAAUCUAUGGAGGAGAAAGGGAGUAGGGAGGAGGCAAAGGACCAUCUUCAGGCUCAGCCUUCAGCACGUUUACCCUGUGUCCUCUCUGUAGUGUGUAUGGGGGUGGCUGGUAGUAACCUAGGGUUUCCAAUCCUGGCUCAAAGCUUUCUUGGGGCAUCUCCAAGUCUCUCCACAUUGUGCGGUGUUCCUGUGAUGUUAUCAAGGGAGGACCCAGCCAGGUGCACAAGCUUCAUGUGAGCAGGCAGCUUUGGUCACCAGGGACUAUAGUCCCCUCCUACCAGGAGUCACCUGGUUUUACCUGAGUUUUUCAAAUGUAUGUGAAGAAAGACCUCAGAUUUAGGGCUCUUUCCCUCAGGCUGGCUUCUACAGCUGACAAUGAAUUCCUGAAGUUUCAGUUCCCUACUUGUAUUCCCAAAUGCCAACUUAUCUUCAGUUCAUAGUAUUACCAAAUAAUUGGCCCUGUGCUGAAUUAGAACCCAACACACUAUUCAUUUUCCCCAAGUAAUGCCUGGCACUUUAAGACUUGUUUUCUCUUUGUUAGUAUUUCACAAAGGAGGAAAGCAUCUGUCAUUCUGGCUUUAAAACAUUUUCAUCCUUACCCCUUCCUUUUAAUCUUCUCUAGGCACAAAUGAUUUAUGAAGUCUUUUGGUUAAGGUUCCUUAUUGAAAACUAUGCAAGAUAGUAUGUCCUUAACCACUACACUGGCCUUUCUAAUCCUGCAUUUCAGAACAGCCCACAGGGACCUUUUCUCUUGGAGUGUCUAGUGAAUACCAGCCUCUGAACAUACCUUUCUCAAGGAUAAUCUGAGGUAUGGGAAGGAUAUUGCUAGAGGUUAGCAAGUAGGGUACUAGUGUGCAGGAAAACAUACAGAAAUCAGUCCUCUGGAUUCUCUCAGGUUUGUGAAAAGAGAAAAAUUAUCCCAAAGAAAAAGGAAAACCCCUUCCCACAAGUGGAUCCAAGAACCCACAGUGCAAUUCAGUGAGAUACACUGGGGAUAGGAGAAUGUUUCAGCGACAGGAUGAUGUGAGUUUAACUUUGGGUGUUCCCAUGAGCAGUACCCUCCUUGAUGUGUUGCCUUAAAAAGAUUUGUUCUCUUAUUUAAGCCUCAGUUUUUAUUACUAUUAAAUAUGUUUUAUUAGUAGAGUACAAAAUACAAGCAAGGGAUUCCAAAGAGUCUCCAUAGAGAUGGAUUUCAGAAAAAAGAUGUCAGUCCUAUAUUUCAUUAAAUGAAAAUUCCUAUUUAUCUGGUUUUGCCUAUGGAGUUAGUAUAAUGCCUUUCUCCAGUGAUUUGGGAGAAAUGAAUUCAAAUGGAGUUCCAGGGCUUAGGUCUGGUAACAUUAGCUAGUAAAAUAAAUAGAGGAAACCUGGCUGCCAUUACAACUGCAAAGAAAGGAAUAUAUUUUGGCCAUUGGUAUCACAGCAGGGCUGAUGUUUCUGUCUCUGUGCAUUGACAUGUGAUAAAACUCUGUCCCUUUACAGCUGAGUUACUUGCCUUACUUGGUUAAUGUGCUGUCUACAAUAUUCUUUAUGGUGAAAUUGCUUUUCUCUAUCAUUAAAUAUCUUGGUAAGAUUUCUUGAAAAACUUAAAGAAACAAUUAUUUUCUUUUAAAUUUCUCUGAUUGUGGUUUGCUUUGAAGAAUGAAGGCUUGUAUUUUCAUUUGCUGGUUAUUCUGGCAGUAUUUUCAGAGGUUCUGAAACCAUCAGAUCUUAGUCCUUUAAAUUUUCUUCUUAUUCUACCUAAUCACUGACAUACAUUAUUAUUUCCUUCUACUUUCACUAAAGGAAACAAGAAUCAUGUAAGACAUUUCAAAGGGUCUUAAAAGCCUGUGGUAUAGCUCAACAGAAUAAUCAAUGAAAGAAAAAUAAUUACUGAAACACCAGACUCAGAACCUGUGUUCUUAUUUUAGUUUCUAUCCUUAAAUAUGGUUGUCUCGUCAUUAAAAAAUAAAAUAGAAUAUCAUCCCCCAAUAGAUGUACAGGUUUUAAACAAUUUUCUUAUUUUUAUUGAUUUAAACAUUUUUACUGUUUACAUUGUGUAGUUUAUGUUUUAUGUAUGUCCAUAAAAUGUAAGUAGUAGCUGAUCAGUUUUGUUUAGUUAUCUCAACAUGUUUCAUGCAUAUCUUCAGUUACGAAAAGUUUUCUGCACAUUCUUUUAGCAUUAAUAAUUUUUCCUUUGUUUUAUGUAAAAUUUUAGGUGACAUGAACUUGAAUAAAAUUGAUUAAAUUUAGUGGAUAUUUGGAAAAACAUAGUAUGUAAGAAGAAAAAUAUUGCUAUCAAAAGUUACAUCAAGAAAUGGAGGGAGGAGAGAUGGAAAGGAAAGGGGGGAUGGAAAAAAAGGGAAUUAUGUACAUGUAGCGAUUUCUCACAAGGAAUCUAAACAUUAUGUACUACAAACAUGUACUAAUAAAAAAGAUAUAAAAAUCAAUAGAAUUAUACCUAGUAUAUUUAAUAUGUUCAGAAAGGAUUGCUGUACUUGCUAUUAUAUUAAAAUGUGUAAAUACUGUAAAAUGUAUUCAUUUAAAUUCAUAUGUGAAAUCUUUGAUGUGCUACCUUUUAAAAGCUGUCUAAAAUUGUGUCUCCUUGGACCAUGGAAUUUAGGAUUACUUCUAAGCUUUGCACACAUUCUGAAGCCUAAAGCACACCACUGUUGAAUCACAAUCUGCAUUUUAAUAAGGUCUCCCAUUAUUGGUUGUAACAUUAAAAUUUGAGAAGUACUUUUCUGACUUAUGACAACUUUCUUACAUGAGAAAUAUAUAGAACUUACCUGUUAAAAUAUAAAUGGAAUAUUUAGAAACGUAUGUUGCUGUGUUGAUUUUAUAUUUUGAAUUUUAAAAUGUGUUUACACUGGCUUUGUGAAUUUUGUGUUAUGCUUUUUUCUCAGAAUUAAAUAAUACUACAUUCAAGAAUGUUUGUGUUUAAAAGUACCCUAUAAAAUAAUAAAGAUCAUUACCUAUGUCAAAUGCAAUUUUAACUCA